GGCAGGACAGUGCUGAGCCCAGGCAGGCUACAGUGCUUUCAGCACGCUUUGCUGGAUGGAUGAGACCUGGCAUUCCCAAUUAGGGCACUCGCACAAAGCGCCGGCCGGGCCGUGGCAUUGCCAUGCAGCCCAGCUCCGCAGCGCUGGCUCCGCUGGCAGCUCCAAGGGAAGCGCACAUGGCGAUUUCUGUACAGCAGCAUAUGGGAAGGAUGUGGAAGGACGACUGGUUUCUCCCAGGCUUGUGAGGAGCUCCCAUCAGAAAGCAGCAAUUCAAAAUGGAAGGAGUGAGUACCAGCGUCUCAGCCACAGCAAGCAGUAUCCCAGCAAGGCAGGGAGGUGUCUGCCUGCAGAGCCAGCAGCACAUCUUUUGCACCUGGCACUUCAGGCAAACAGCAGCUGAAAGAGAACUCUGUAACAUGUCCAUAAUAGGCUGCUCCCCUGCCUUCAGGAGCAAGUGGCCAUUUCAAUGGCUGCAGAUGUUUGUGCAAGAAUGGACACUGCUCAGUACCAUUCUCUGCUAAUGCCAGAGUCCUUGUAGUCAACAGCUUGAGCUCUUUAAUUCAUGAUACAAUCUUUUUGCUAAAAGGUCUCAAGGAAACACUGAUAGCUUCUGCUUCAGAUGUUCUCUCUGAGUGUGCAAGGGAUGUGUUGGUUUAAAAGGUCACAUUGAUGUCCUACAUUUACUUACAGUAAAGGCCUUCAUUGUAUUUUUCUGAUUCUGCCUGCCCGAAUGGAUAGGCAUGUUAGCUGUGUAGCUUGCUGAAUUCUGAACACAGAAAAAAACCCCAAGUAUGUUAUAACUGGUUCUCAUUAAACUGCUAAAUGGAAUACUAAAAGGUAGCUUAAAAUCAGGUGCAUUUAAUAAAGUUAUAUUUGAAUUGGCACACGCAUGGGUCCCAUGUGUUUUUCAGUUUGCUAGUGUUGCAAGUUUAUCAUGUGUAUUACCUAUGCUUAAAUGUUACUUCACUCCAAUAAAAACAGGCAUCAUUUACAAUUUCUCUCAAACAUUGCUAAGUCCAUGACCCAAUUCAUUAGCUAACCUUCUGAGGCAGCCUAACACACCCAUUGAAUUUACUGAGUCUUGGAAAGUGAUUUAUGCCUUUAGAUUAGAUAUGGGUUUGGAAGAUUAAAUAAAACCAC